rnacentral:rRNA from 1 species
GAUGAACGCUGGCGGCGUGCCUAAUACAUGCAAGUCGAGCGAACAGACGAUGAUUUUGCUGCUCGGACGUUAGCGGCGGAGGGGUGAGUAACGCGUGUAUAACCUACUUAUAAGACGGGUAUAACUUCGGGAAAGGGGAUCUAAUAGGGGAGAAUAUAUUGAACCGCAGUGGGCAAUAGUAAGAGACGGUGGUGGUGGCAGGUAUAGAGGGAUCUGGGCGGCAUGAGCUAGUUGUUAAGUUAACGGCUUACGAAGGCAAGGAGGCGUAGCCGACGUGAGAGAGUGAUCGCCCACCUGGGAACUGAGACACCGUCAAGACUCCUGCGGGAGGCAGCAGUCGGCAACCUUCCGCAAUAGGCGAGAACUUGACGCAGCAACGCGGCGUGAGUGACGACGGUCCUCGGAUCGUAAAACUCUCUUAUUAGGGAAGAACAAAUGUCUACGUAACUAUACACGUAUUGACGGUACUUAGUCAGAAAGCCCCGGCUAACUACGUG